rnacentral:lncRNA from 1 species
UAGCAGCCUUGUGGGAAAUAUUAAAGAAAAUAUGCACCAAGGCCAUCUAAUAAUAGGACCAUGUUUUGAAAGAUGUUUACAUGGUGGUGCUUCAGGAAAUGGGGCUUUGCUUUUAAGGUUUUUGAGUAUGGAGAAAUAGUAUCCCAGCUCUGCAAUAGGAAGAUCAACUUGCAAACAGUUUAAAUAGGCUGGUAGGGGACAGUCUGAUCAUGAAAAAGCAACUAGGAAGCUAUUAUAAGAGAUUGAACCACAAUGGAGGCAGCAGGAACUUAAAUUUCUUUUUUCAUUUAUACUUGCCUUUCAACUUUUUGUAGUUGCAACAUGUACUUUCUUAUUGAAUCCUACCUCUGUCAAAGUGGAAACUUUGAUAACUCAAAUUGUCCCAAGUAUAAAGUGAUUUCAAAGUUUUCUCAUAGUCGUCUUGUGUUUUUCACAAAAACCAAUUUCUAUAAUAUACUUUUAAAAAAUUGUUAAUCAUUUCUGUUCAACAUUUCUUCAGUCUGGAUCUUAUCCAAUGUCUUACGCUCCUCGUUAAACAACAAAAAAAAAAAAAAAAGAAAAAGAAAAAGAAACUCACAUCUAAGAUUAAGUUCAGUAAAAUUUUGAUUAAUCAGAAAAUGCUAGGAAUGGCGUUUUCGUUACUUAACAGUAACACUUUUGUGGUUUCAGGGUAGUCAAUGAAAAUAUUUUCAAAAUAUAUGUCUAUAUCUAUAACUGGAUAUAAUUAACUCAAUUUAACAUUUAUUUGAUGAUCCACAAUUUUGAAGCCUUUGAAUGUUUGACUUCAAGCAGCAAGAAAGAUGGAGUGAUAGUGGGAAGGUAAAGGUGAAGUGGUACUCUGAGGGAUCAGUGGUUGAGAGGGAAGAGGUAGGAAGAAGAGCUUCACAGAGGAAAAGGAUCAAAUCCUUAUUGUUCCAUAUUAUAGAUGUAAGUUACUGAAUUCUAAGAAAAUGCUGAUACUUAUUUUAAAAACUGUAUCCCUAAUCUUUUUUCCUCAUCAGUUCCUUAUUUCUCAUAAAAGUAAAAUUAGAAUAAAAGAUCCAUUUCUUUAAGAAUUAUGGUGAGAUUGAUUUUAGUAUGUUAUGUAACGUAGCAAGUGAUACUGAGUGCAGGGCAUUUUAAGUAACAGCUCUUUCAUUAUAUCUCAGCUAAUUUAUUCAACAACUAUUGAAUGAGUACUGUUAUAUGUUAAACACCAUUGUAGGUGCAUGUGAUAUAGCUGUGAACAAAACAUCAAGAAGCUUUGCCCUCUCUUGUUGAGACAGACAGACACUAUAAAUAAGGAGAAUACAUAGUAUAUAGUUUUUAGAAUACAUAGCAUUUUUGGUAGUGAAAAUUACCAUGGAGGAAAGGAGUACCAGGGUAAGGUGGGGUUAUGAAGAAGAUCUUACUGCUAAUAUGACAUCAAAUUAAGGCUUGAAGAGAGCAAUCAAGUCUUAUAGCAACUGGGGGGAAAAGGUUCUGAGGUAGGAAUAUGUCUGAUAGGUUUCAGGAAUGUAAAGCAGCUAGUGAAGCUAGAAAAGAAGGAAGAGGAAGAGAAGUAGCAGUUGAGAUCAAAGAGCUAAAGGGAGGCCUUGUAAACUAUUGUAAUGACUGCUUUUUAUUCUGAGUAACACACCACUGGAGGGUUUUAGAUGAAGUGAUCUGAUUUUUUUCAAACUAACAAUUUAAUUUUAAUAUUACCAUAUAGUUAAUAUACAGUAAAUUCACUCCUGUUAGCACACAGUCCUGAGCAUGCACAGUUGUGUAACCACCAAUACAAAGUAUAAAACAGUAUCAUUAUUUCAGAAAAUCUUCCCAUCCCCAUUUGUAGCCAACUUUAUUCCAUUCUCUGCCCAACCACGGUCUUCUGUCUUUUUUGAUUGUUGCAGAAUGUCAUAUAAAUGGAAUUGUAUCGUACGUAGCAUUUCCAUCUGGCUUCUUUCACUAGCAGAGUACGUUGGAUGUUCAUCCAUGUUGUGUGUAUCAGUAGUUUGUCUCUAUUGCUGAGGAGUAUUCCAUUGUAUGAAUGUACCACUGUGUGUUUAUGCAUUUCUUGUUCAGUUGAGGGACAUUUGAAUUGUUUCAAAACUUGGUGAUUAUUAAUAAAGCCACUAUAAAUGUCC